UUUCCGUAGGUGAACCUGCGGAAGGAUCAUUAUUGUAUAACCGAGGUGCGAGGGCUGUCGCUGACCCGACAGGUCGUGCACGCCCGAGUGCCCUCACACGCAUCCAUCUCACCCCUAUGUGCACCACCGCGUGGGUCCCCCUUUGGCGUGUUCGGAGGGGGGCUUACGUUUUCACACAAACUUUGUAUGCAGUGUAGAAUGUAUUUUUUGUUUUUGCGAUCACGCAAUCAAUACAACUUUCAACAACGGAUCUCUUGGCUCUC
rnacentral:misc_RNA from 1 species